AUGACGAAAAGGAACAGAAACUAUUACCUAAUGCCAGAUGAAGAAGACCCGGUAAGACCAGUUCCAAACAAGAUUGGAAAAGUUAUGUUUCUCAUGGCAGUUGCAAGGCCCAGAUACGACGCUGAAGGGAAUGUCACAUUCUCAGGAAAGAUUGGGGUUUGGCCUUUCGUCACAACAGUUGCGGCACAAAGAAGGAGUGAAAAUAGAGAACGAGGAGUCAUGGAAUUCAAGUCACUCAUGGUGAACAGAGAAGUCAUGAGACGAUACAUGAUUGAGAAAGUUGUUCCUGCAAUAAAAGAUGUGUGGCCCUUUGAAGAUGUUGGACAAACAGUCUUCAUCCAACAGGACAAUGCAAGGACACUAAUGCAGUGGCUAUUAGUUGGCACUUAA
rnacentral:rRNA from 1 species